AUUAUAUUUACUUUUGUUUUGUUUUCUGAUGCCUCCGGCAUAUUUGCAUGACUGUUUCCCAUCUUCCCAAUAUCUGUCUAUCGCCUGCAGACUGCAUCCGCCAAGCAAGAAUCAAGAAGCUCCUUCAUCGUAAGGUAGAUUGUCCGAGGGUGCGGGUCUCACAAACACUAGUGCACACCACCCACAAUGGCAUAGUGAGGCUGGUAUCUACGGCUUAUACACGGUGGUUGCUGUGUGGACAUUCCGAGUCUGUGCAGAUUAGACCAUGGAUGGCUGACCGUUCUUCCCAGGCUGAAGCUGAUGCAGUUUUCCUGAACUUCUUUUUUUCUGCCUUUGAGAGCAAUUAGCAGCGAGUUAGUCUUCAGUAACUAUAGCUCACGGAGGGGCCAAAGGUAUAGCCAUGAUAGAUUGCUCCCUUAAAAUACUCUGCCAUGUUAAGUAAUCGCCAUGGAGGGAAUGUGAACGAUGAGCGAUAGAAUAAGUGUUGACUCAAUGUAACGGAGUUCAUGAAAUCUCACUUAGGUUAGAUACUUUGGCAAGAGAGUUUGUAAAGCUUUUUAAUUCACAUGACAGUUGAGUGAAAACAGUUUUGGAUUUCUUCAGGAAUUAUUUGGAGGUGGGGAUGGAUACUGGAUACAUAAUGAAUGUGACAUGUCAGUUGGGUGGCAGUAGCCUGUCCUCUCUGUGACACCCACCAGCGGUAGGUGUGGUUAUGUUUGAUGAUACUGUCUGGCAGACAGUGGAGCCUCAGAGGUAGCUUUGUCCAAAAUUCUUCAAUCUUACUGCGUAUCCAAUACAGACCACAUCAGGAGCUCUGUGGGAAGGUAUAACUCAUGCCAACUUUUAAGGGGAUGGAGUGGGUCUGGCUAGAGUUGGGCUCCAGCCAUGCAUUAGCCCAACUGUUUGUCUUUUUGGACUUCCAAGGAUGAAGGAAAUGUCCCUUAUGUGUGGAGCAAUGAAGUAUAAUCAUAGCUGCUGUCUGACUCAAGCCCUUGGAUUAUCUUUGACUCUUUAGUCUCUCUCUCUCUCCCCUUCUAUGUGUAUGUAUGUGUGUGUGUGUGUCUGUAUGUCUGUGUGUAUAUGUCUGUUAGGAGGGCAGAGGAAGAUAUCAUGUACCCUGUUCUAUCUUUCAUUCUCUCCCUGUUCCUUCGAUACAGGGUCUCUCAAUGGAUCUGGGGCUAGGCUGGCCGCCAGAAAACCCCGGGAAUCCUCCAGCAUUCACCUGCUCUCGGCACUGGGGUUAUAGAUACGCAUGGCCACACGGAGCUUUUCCUCUCAAAGAUCAGCGAGAUAAUUUGCAAGCAAAAUCUCAGCGCUGAGAGACAGGUUAGAGAAGGAUGUAGAAACCCCACAGGCUGGGCACUGAGUUGGUGAUCGAAUGGAAAAGGUAUAAACUCUCAGGGGACUUAGACCCAGGCCCUGAUGUAGGGAGUUACUGGGUAAAGGUAAGCAAAAGCAAUUAGUUUGUGUGUGUGUGUGUAAGCACACACUUAUGAACUGGUGCAUUUUGGGUUCAUCUAGAUGAUCUUAAGAAUAUGUUUUCUUUGAUGUAAAUUGGUGUGUGUUUGUGUGUGUGUGUGUUUGUGUGUUUAUGUGUAAGCACACACUUAUGAACUGGGGCAUUUUGGGUUCAUCUAGAUGAUCUUAAGAAUAUGUUUUCUUUGAUGUAGAUUGGUACCUAGCAGCCAGUGAUGGGAAAACGCCUCCUCCAUACUCAGCUUUGUCACCCAACCUCUUGUGAAGACAGGAUGGAGCCCAGAUAGAGGCCUCCUGCUGACUCCUUGUGCAAAGAGAGGAAACAAGGGUCAAUGCUAACAAGUGAAACACUGGCUUAAAAUAUGAAUCUGCUCUCUAUCAAAUGCUCGUGCAGUCUUUAAAGGAGAGGAGGCAGAGGAGACAUCGAAGAGGAGAGGAUCUGGGAAGGAGAGGAUCUGGGAGGAUGGAGUCUAGAUCACAAGGGAACAUACAGCCAGAAGCCAGAGAGCUUUGAAUCUUUGAAGGACAGAAACCCCAUUGCUGUUGGAAGAUGGAGAAGGUGACAAGAAGAAGCACAGGCAGCCGGAAUAUGUCAUGGCUUUUAAAAAUAUUUAUUUAUAGGAAAACUAUAAACCCAUGUUUAAAUAAACUCUGUUCUUGGUCAGCUUUUCAUUGGGACUAAGACGUUUGAGCAACCGUGGUGGGUGUGUUAGAAUAUCUCUCUCCUCUUUC
rnacentral:lncRNA from 1 species